rnacentral:lncRNA from 14 species
GGCCAUGGUGUUGUUGGCCAUGGUGUUGUCCAUGGCGCCGUCCCCAUCCCUGCACAGCACCUCAUGGGUCUGGAGCCUCUUGACGUGGAUGAAGCUCUUCCCGCAGUGCCGGCAGCCCAGGCCCCGGCGGCCCCGGUGCAGCUUCAGGUGGAAGGUGAGUGCCGGUGCCGAGGCGAAGGCACGGCCACAGAGCCCACAGCCGAGGGGGGGGGGCGAGGAGGGGGAUGGUGGAGCCAAUGGGGCCGAGGAUGGGGAUGGUGGAGCCAUUGGGGUCAAUGAUGGGGAUGGUGGAGCCAUUGGGGUCAAUGAUGGGGAUGGUGGAGCCAACGGGGUCAAUGAUGGUGAUGGUGGAGUCAAUGGGGUUAAUGAUGGUGAUGGUGGAGCCAAUGGGGUCAAGGAUGGGGUCAAUGGAGUCAACGACGGUGAUGCUGAUGUCAAUGGAGUCAACGAUGACGUCAGUGAUGAUGUCACCGGUGAUGGUGUUGAUGACGAUGCCAACGGUGCCAAAGAUGAUGAUGUCAAUGAUGACGUCAAUGGUGCCAAUGAUGCUGCAGCUGCCGCCAACGGUGCCAAAGCUGCUGCUGCCGCCGCCAAUGGUGAUGAUGAUGACGUCAACGCCAAUGGUGUCAAUGGUGCCAACGAUGGUGAUGAUGAUGACGUCACCGAUGACGUCAGCGCCAUUGGUGCCGA